GGCCUCACUCUCCGGGCGGGUGCUGGACGGACGGACGGGGCAGCCGUGCUCACAGCUCAGCAGCGCGGGGCCUUGGCGCGCGGGGCGCUUCCCCGGGUCGCCGUCAUGGCCGCGGAGGUGGCACGCCCGAGCGGCCUCGCCUGAGCUCCGGGGGUCGUCGCCCCGCAGGGUAGGUGUUUGGGUGCUCGCGGCUGCGGCGGGCGGGCUGGGGGCAGCGGUGGCCGUGCAUUGCCGCGCUGCGAGGACGGCGCUGGGUUCGCGGCCGCGAGGAGGGUGUGCCUUUGCCGCGGCGCCUACGUGCGGGUCCGGGCUCCGCGGGGCCGGGUGCGGGACCCCGCAGAUCGUCACCCGCAACCCAGGCAGCCCCACCGCGAGUGCCGCCGGACCCCCUGGACGCCGCUGCCAGAGGCGUUCGCGCCUAUCUGGUAUGAGGUCCACAGACCCGAUUCUUACAACCUGGCGCUCUAACCUCGCCAACGGGCCAGGAAAAAAACAGAACAAGGAAAAGAAGAAAAAGUCUGUUCCAAGUAAUAAUGGAACAGUUACUAGACAGUAACUGUUUGCACUUUCGUCUCUUAUGGAAAAUAUGAUUAUUUUGAUGCUUUAGUAUUACAGACUGUAUCAGACAUACUCUUAAAAGUAUUUAAAAACGUGGGGUCCUAAAAAUUUCCUAGAUCGGGACAGCUGAUAAUGCGACUUCUGUUAGUCUCCGCAUCCAACUUUCAGGGCGGAAUGGGGAUUUCUACCUUUUACUGAAUAUACUCCUGUAAUUUUGAAUAUUUUUUCUCAUCAAAUGUGUUAUUUUCAUGUUUUAGGAAACCAAUAAAAAUCAAAAAUAGAAACACCCAGCUUAGGUCCUCCUUCUUCCAGGAAUCCUCCUCUAACCCCUCCCUCCCAGGCAGGAUCGGAGGCCCCUCCCGGGUGCUUUCUGGGGCCUCACUGAGGUCCUGGUCCCCUAAGUCCUCCCCCGCAGCCCCUCCGCGUAUUAACCCACCGGUCUCGCUGGGCCCAGAGAUUGCUUACUUAGCACAUGGUAAGUGAUUAAUACUGUUUAAUGACCGAGGGAAAAGAUAAAAUGUUCUCUGAUGUUUCACGCUUUUCGCUCUGAAGUUAAAUAGUGGUAAAUUUAUAUGCGCUUAGAUAAGAACAUUUAACAGUUAAGGAUCUGGAAAAGUUGACGACGUCCGAUGUCCGUGUUUCCUGAUCCAGCAGUUGCACGCCUGGGUAUUCAUCCUUAAGAACAAUGUUUUUCAGAAUUUGAAGUCCAUUUUAGUGGGUCGUAAAGUCAUUUAAGUGGAUGAUCAGAAUUUGUAAAACACAGACGGAGAAUAGAACAUCAGUGUCUCUCAGGUCAUAGGGGUGUUCGCUUUAUGAAUCUCUCUCCCUCUCCUCAGUUUCAUACAUACACAAAUGUGUGUCAUGAUGUAAAACGUCAUUCCUUAGUAUGAGUCAUGGACAAAAAAGUUUGAAAGCCACUGCCCUAGAUAAAUUUUAAUACAUGUCCACAAGCAGACGUGUACAAGAAGGUUGACUGUAAUAGCAGAAAACUGGAUGCCGCCUUCAUGCCUACCUGAAGGAGAAAGAUAAAUUAUACACCACUCAUAAAAAGGGCACACUGUACAGUGGCCAAUGAAGUAUUUUUGUGUUUCAACACAAAUGCCUUUCAGUGUUGAACCAAAAAAAAAAAAAAAAAAGUUGCCGGAGAAUGCUGUGUGAUAUCUUCUAUGUAAAAUUCAGAACCUGGUGGAGCAAAGCUGUUGUUUAGGGAUGCAUGUAUAGGCAUUAAAAGUAGUAAAGAAAAAAAGUCAAGCUAAUGGUCAUCUCCUAGUGGGGAGGAGAGGGUCAGGGGCUCAGAGAUGCUGGAAAUGCUUUAUCGCCUGACGUGUGCAAUGGUUACGUGGGUGUUUGCUUUGUAACUCUUUGUUAAAUGAUACACACUGGGUUUGAAUGUUACAUUUCCCCCCAAAUAUGUUAAAAUAUGGGUGUUGCAAACUGAAGAAGCCUGAGUCUAGGGCUCUCCGUCUGUUAUUCUUAUUUCCUGGCUUCUUUUUAGAAAAAAAAAUCUUGCUCAGGGAGGAGUACCUAGGGAAUUUAUCAGUAAUGUUUUAUUUCAUAAAUUCCAUGGUGGACAUACCAGUAUUCGUUAAAUUAUUCUUUAUGUAUUCUUAUAACUUAAUUUAUAAUAUUUCAAAAAGCAUUUAGGAGAAAACAUCAUUUGGUGUGUUUGCUUUCCCAAAAGUCACAUUUACAUGUUUUGUACACAACUGGAAUAUUUUAUAUAGUAAUUUUAGCUAAAAUCAAAUUUUGUUAUGAAAAACAAAAUACUAAAAAGUAUAUAAAAAUCACAGAACUUUACAGACUUUCAGCGUUUUAAAAUGCUAACAUAUUGUAUUUACCUCAAUAAUUUCUGUUCCUCAGUUCUUUCAGGCCACAUUUUUAGUGCUCAAUAGCCUCAUAUGACUUUAAUAUUUUAUUAUAUUUUAUUAUGUUAUAUAUUUUACAUCAUAAUACAUUAUAGAACAGAAUAUUUCCAUCUUUGCAGAAAUUUAUAUUGGAAAACAUUCUGGAUACAAAUAUUUGUUAUAUACUUGCAGAUAUUAAACUGUAGACAUUAAUCCUUAUGCUUUUUGUCUUAAGAUACUCUACUAUUAAUGAAAUGUAUUCUGAAUAUUUUUCUAAGAAUUUUUAAGUUUAUGUUUUGUCCACAUUUUGUUCUUUAAUUUACCUGAGAAAUGUAUAUGUUGAGAUGUAUAUAUUUUAUGUUAUGAGAUCAAGCUUAAUUCAUUUUCAGAUUCCCACAUGAAAAGGUAAUUGUCCCGAUAUCAGUGAUUAGCAGUGCCACUUCUGUCACAUACAGUACCCAGAUAUAUUUGGGCUUAUUUCCAGGCUGUUAAUCCUGGUUUAUUUGUCAUUUGAAAAUACUGCAGAUUUUCAUGUACUGCUGCUUUCUAUGUAGUAUAUUGUUCAGUUCUAAGAAUUUAAGAUUUUUUCAUUGUGAUAUUUUUUCUUCCCCUAAGAGAUUUGUAGAAAGUAGUCUAGUUCCAAUGUGGAAGGUUUUGUGAGUUAUCCUUUUGUUACUGAUUUCUAAUUUGCACUGUAGUUAGCAUACGUGUCAAGGCCAACAAUUCUUUGAAAUUCGAGAAUUGCUUUAUGGUUUUAACUGCUCCUUGUAUCAUCAAGAAUAAUUUGUACUCACAGACUUUUGAGGCAAGGUAUGUAGGUGUGUGUGUACAUAUAAUAUAUACACAUACACUUUAUAUAUAGAUUAUAUAGAAUCUCACUGUAGAGUUUAUAUAAAAAUUAAAUAUAUUUAUAUAAAUGUAUAUAUAUGAAUAAAAUCUCCUGUCUCUAA
rnacentral:sRNA from 1 species